CCCCUUAACAUUUAGACUUUCAUUUCUUUAGGAGCGAGGAGAGAUUUCUAAAAAUGCAUGUGUCGUGAUUAAAGGGCCACAUAAAAUAUCACCCAACCCAACCCUUGUUAAUUUGACAGAGACGAGUACCUCUUCGCUGGUUGGCCAUCGAAUCGUUAAGGCACCAACUGUACACCUCACAGAGUGACGUGUGGUCGUUCGGAAUCCUCCUUUGGGAAAUAGCAACAUUUGGUGGGUCUCCGUACCCGUCCAUUCCGAACGACUCGCUGGCAGAGACAAUCAAACGAGGAUACCGCAUGCCCCAGCCAGACAACUGUCAUGACCACAUUUAUGCACUGAUGCGCGAGUGUUGGGACGAGGAACCAGACAACAGACCGACCUUUACUGAGUUGGUUUAUAUCCUCAGUGACAUGGCUGACAGUCGGAUUAAGCACACUUAUAUGGCAGUCAUCCGCAAUGACUAUGAGAAUGCGCGUGUCUUCCGGCCCGAACUGGAUGACAGCUGAUGAGGUUCGCUGGACUCGGUGUUGCUUUCCGCGUAAACGUACAAAAAUUACCAUUUAUCGUAUGGUAAAAUUUGUUGUUAUUAUUAUGAGGAUUAUCUGUUUAAAGAAAAUAACCAACAGCCAUUUUGAAUUGUCAUAAGCCCAAAUGCGUUACAUGCAUAGUAAAUUAGGCACCUCGUUUAUCUAAUGAGAGAAAGGGGGUAUUAAGAUAGCGUUAUAAUCAGACGAAUCUUGUACAUUUAUGUCUUUUAUGUACAUAAAGUCCCUUUUGAAAGGGAAAUUCUCACUUUCAAUGUUAAUUUUUCCUUCAAAGAUUACGCUUAUGUACCCAUUGUUGCUCUAAGCCUACCAUACUUGUCUUACUUAUGUAACCUGCUUCAGUAAACUGUUAGUUUUACUCAGAGAUGUAACCAAGUCAUUUUUACAAAGUCAAGUCAAGCCCCAAGUCAAAUUUUAGCAAGUCAAGUCUCAAGUCAU